GCAGCCUGGCUCCACCCCUUCUGGUCACACAGGUGAAUUGCCUUCACCUGUGCUCCUGUGGCUGACUCAGCGCUCGUCUCAGGUGGUCAAUCAGAGGUUCAGGCCGCGACUCAACAGUUCCCAUACAGAGGCCAAAUACAGUCCAAGUCCUGAGUAUUGGUGCUUGCAAGAAAAUACACUGAUAUCCUAGAACUGUAGCAAGUAAUGCCUCAUAUAGUUCACUUGGUAUUACUUUGGAGUAAGAAUUAACGAGUGUAAAGCUACAGCACAUGGUAUGUGCUGUGUUAUUCUAUGACACGUUAUUUUCUAUAUAUUAUAUACAUAUUCUAUUCUAUGACUAGGAUAUGUAGCUCUAGGCUAAUUUAGCUCUAGGCUAAAAUACAUUAGAGACAGGAAAAAAAAAACAAAAAACCUAAAAACCAAUCACACCACUGAUAUCUGCAACGAAGGAGAAUGACGUUCUUUCGGUGUUUUCAGUGAGCAUGCCACAAACACUGGUCAAGCCCAUUAGUCUUAACUCUACAUAAGUUUCUGUUUCAACAUUUAGCUGAGAUGAGUCAGUUAUUAAUGGCUGUAGUAUGUUUUCUUCUUAUUUCAGUUCCUACUAGUAUCGGUGCAUUACAUGUUUGUUACAGGAUACUAAAGGCUGGCAGUUUUCAGGUUGCCUCAUCCAGCCCUUGUCCAUUCAGAACUGUUUUCUUCAGCUCACUUACACUGCCAUGCAUAGACCAGAGCCAAGGGAUUUCUCCUAAUUCCUAUGGGAUUUUAGGAAGCAUUUUAUUGUUUCCCAGAUAUUUUCAUCUUUCAUGCAUUCUGCUCUAUCAAACAUUAUCACAUCAACCUUCUGCUCAUUAUUCUUAAGUUACUACUCAUCAUUACAGUACUAAGUAUGUUAUAAUUAACUUCUAUAUUUAAUUGCUGUUUUGCCAGAUUAUCACUCUGUGAAAGUGCUGCAAAACAUUUUCCCUAAAUAUCUGUCCACGUAUCACAAAACUUUGCAUGUUGUGGAAAUUCUACUGAAUGCAUCCAUAUUGGGAUUGUCCCUCUUGGUGGCCAAGAGGUGUUAUGCAAACAACUUUCCACAUACCUCUAAACGCAAUUUGCAUGUAUAGCCCAGAACAAAAAUGUUGACAUUAGGAACUCUACCAAGAAUCUGCAUCUUCACACCGGUUACAUCUGCCACCUCUGUGGGAGAUGAUAUUAGGAUGAACAACCCUGUUGUUCAUCUUAGGUUGCAAUCUCUAAAACAUCAUAAUUAAAAAGAAUGCUUGCUGCAUUAUAACUGUACAGCUAGGAUUUGAGGAGUUGAGAUGAUCUGAAUCAAUGAUUUGAACAGAAUAUAAAUUCAUAUACUAUGACAGUCUUUUAAGAUAAGCCACUAGGCCAUUUCUUAACUGGUAAGUAAAUCUCCACUUCCUCUACCCACAAUUAAUUUCAGUCUUCCAGUUUGAAGAUAUGAAUCAUCACCAGAGACUGACUCCCAGGCUGUUUCACUGGUCAAUUGAGAGAUACAUAGCCCUUCACUCCUCCUGAGCAAAGCCAUGGGUACUCUAUCUUCUCCCUAGGCCUUUACUUCUAGAAAAUGCAGUUCUUACACACAUACUUGCCUUACUCUGGUUUCUGACGUUCCUUCCCUGAAGCAACUGCAUAUGGAUUGAAGGAUUAGGCAGUAAGCUCUGAGAGGAAACAAGCAGAUUUCUGGUCUAGUCAGUCAGUCAUGUAAGAGGUUUCUUGAAAGAAAUUUAUGUAUACACAAACUCCUAAGAACAACCUCCACUAACAACUACCAAAACUCAAACUAAAGUCCAGUAACAAAGACAGGAAACUGAGAUUAGCCGCUACGCAGCCAGACAUACCACUUAGCUGACUGCUCUAAGUCAAAAGAAGUCAUGUAGGAGGGCCAUGUAUUUAGGACCAUCUGCUCCAGUUCAUUGUACUUGGCAUGACAAUCAUCAUAAAAGUCAAAGACUUUGAAAGAUGUCCUAGGAACUUAUGGUACUUUGCAAGAUGCCAUAGGACAAAGUACACACACACACAAAAAAGAGUAAAUACCAUAGUCUGACUGGAAUGAUGUAACUGUCUUUGAACAAGGAAUUGCAGUGCUACGUAAUGUCCACUGUGAUGACUGAAUUCCAGAAAAUGGAAUUUUCAUUCCACAAGGUGGAAAAAUGUGUAAGAAGAAAGAUCAAGACCAUAGAUCUGUGUUUUUCCCAUGUUUGAUAAGUGUUCUCUUUCAGGUAACAAGAGCCACAUCUGCAAAAGAACAUGGGUGUAUGUAGUCACAGUUUGGCCUAUCUUAUGUAGUGCAAAAAGAUUCAAGUUAACAACGACAGCUUUCCCAGUGUGACCACUGCCUCCUACCACUCGUUUCCAGGAAAGCAUGUGAAG
ensembl:lncRNA